rnacentral:rRNA from 1 species
UACGGAGGGUGCAAGCGUUGUUCGGAAUUAUUGGGCGUAAAGCGUGUCUCGGUGGGUAGGUAAGUUAGGUGUGAAAUCUCCCGGCUUAACUGGGAAGUUGCACUUGAUACUGCUUAUCUUGAGUCAUAGAGGGAUGAGCGGAAUUCCUGGUGUAGCAGUGAAAUGCGUAGAUAUGCGGAGGAACACCGAUGGCGAAGGCAGCCCCCUGGGCUAACACUGACGCUCAGGCACGAAAGCGUGGGGAGUAAACAGG